rnacentral:tRNA from 1 species
AGGGUUGUAGUUAAUAAUAACAUUUGAUUUGCAUUCAAAAGGUAUUGAUAUUUCAAUCUACCUUG